rnacentral:rRNA from 1 species
UGAGCAAUCUGCCGUUUCUCAUCGGAAUAAGCGUUGGAAACGACGUCUAAUGCCGAAUACGACCUCCUUUCGCAUGAUCGGAGGUGGAAAGCUCCGGCGGAGAAGGAUGAGCUCGCGGCCUAUCAGCUAGUUGGUGUGGGUAAUGGCCCACCAAGGCGACGACGGGUAGCCGGCCUGAGAGGGUGACCGGCCACACGUGGGACUGAGAUACCGGCCCAGACCUCCGUACGGGAGCAG